CAUCACGAGUUGCUGCCUCCCAGCUUACUUGCCUGGGUUGUCUUGAGCUCAUUGCAAAAAGUAGACAGGAAUAUGAGGAUAUUGCUGUGAAACUGGGAACUGAUCUGGAAUACCUGAAAAAAAUACGUGGCAAAGUCUGGAAGCAGAGAAUAUCCAGUCCUUUGUUCAACACGAAACAGUACACAAUGGACCUGGAGCGGCUUUAUCUUCAGAUGUGGGAUCACUAUGCUGCUGGCAACAAACCGGACCACAUUAUUAAGCCAGUAGAGGCCAGUGAAUCUGCAUGAAAGAGAGACUUGUCUGUGUGCCCACCCAGAACUCUCCAGGAACUGAGCCUCUCAAACACUUCUGCAGAGAUGAUGAGCUAAAAACUGUGCAUUUCUACUUAAUCUGCCUGGUACUCUGUGGCUGAAGUAAUACAUGAUGGUGAUUAAAGCACAGCCAGACUUAUUUCUUGCAUGAUAGGGAAAGAUGGGAUCCUUUUAUUCCAUGAGGAAUUUGAAUGGGAUUGAGCCGUGUACACGUGAGCCUGUGUGUAUGAGUGAUGUGGCUGCUGGGGGAGGUUUGAACUGCCCAACCAAUUAUGAUUUCAUGGAUGGAUUUAAUCUUCCUAUGAAUCUCUCUCCUUUUAUGUGGAUUGGGAAUUGGAGUGUUUUAACAUUUGAUUUUGGGUACUCCUGUUGGUAUACCUGUGAUUCUCCCAUGACAAGAUUUCCAGCUAGCGAGUGUUGCUCCCUGCAUUAAUUGCUGAACUGUGUGGACCGAAAGGGCAUAUUUGCUGGUGUAGUCUUUUUUUAUAGGUUUUAUAAACCACUUGAGCCUAUAUCAGCCUUUUAAUGUUUGACCUCUGUUUUGGAGCUCUCUGUAAUGUGUUGGUUUAGAUAAGGACUUUGUGGGUUUUUUUUGUUUUGUUUUGUUUUUAAGCUUCUCCAAUAACUCAGCUAAUUGGCUUCAUGAUGGCAGCUCCUGUUGAAAAACCAAAUUUGAUUUGAGAUUAAUCCUCCCCACAAGUGUUUGAGGUAAACACAAACUGGUGCCAAAUACAGAUCUUUCAGGAAUGAUUGUUAAUUAUGUAUAGAGGCGCAGUCCUAGGUACUGUAGCAAAGACUUUAAACAAAAAAUAAAGCUUUGGUUUGCCAGUUUGACUGAUUU